GAUGAACGCUGGCGGCGUGCCUAAUACAUGCAAGUCGAGCGAACAGACGAGGAGCUUGCUCCUCUGACGUUAGCGGCGGACGGGUGAGUAACACGUGGAUAACCUACCUAUAAGACUGGGAUAACUUCGGGAAACCGGAGCUAAUACCGGAUAAUAUAUUGAACCGCAUGGUUCAAUAGUGAAAGACGGUUUUGCUGUCACUUAUAGAUGGAUCCGCGCCGCAUUAGCUAGUUGGUAAGGUAACGGCUUACCAAGGCAACGAUGCGUAGCCGACCUGAGAGGGUGAUCAGCCACACUGGAACUGAGACACGGUCCAGACUCCUACGGGAGGCAGCAGUAGGGAAUCUUCCGAAAUGGGCGAAAGCCUGACGGAGCAACGCCGCGUGAGUGAUGAAGGUCUUCGGAUCGUAAAACUCUGUUAUUAGGGAAGAACAAAUGUGUAAGUAACUAUGCACGUCUUGACGGUACCUAAUCAGAAAGCCACGGCUAACUACGUG
rnacentral:rRNA from 1 species